AGUUACCAGGCCUGGUUCAAGCCCUGUAUCCCACCCUCAACGGGAAGCCAACAGAAGUGACCUCAAAUGAAAAUCCUGUGAAAGAAUAGUAAAGAAAAAGGACGUAGGGCCAUCUCAAGAGGGCUGAUUUGGAAUCAAAGAAUUAAGACACAGAAAAUGACAGUCCAAUAUAAUCUUGGUGUGAAGAACUUCAGUUCUGUUUUGAUUUGUGCUGAACACACAUUUCCUCACUGGAGUCUGCCUUCUAAAGAAUGUCUCCAAUGCAUUGAAGACUUGAUUCUACUACUGAGAUAUGUUCUCCUCAUGUUUGACACUCUACUCAUUUUCUCUUCCAUGCCUGGAAAAUGGAAUCAACACAGAUGCCUAUCAAUUG
rnacentral:lncRNA from 1 species